rnacentral:misc_RNA from 1 species
UCUCCGUAGGUGAACCUGCGGAGGGAUCAUUACAGAGUUCAUGCCCUCCGGGUAGAUCUCCCACCCAUUGCUAUAACUACUCUCAUUGCUUUGGCGGGCCGCUGGGCCCUGCCCGGCCGCCGGCCCCGGCUGGCGCGUGCCCGCCAGAGACCUCACAAACUCUGAAUGUUAGUGUCGUACGAGUAACUAUACAAUCGUUAAAACUUUCAACAACGGAUCUCUUGGUUCUG